rnacentral:lncRNA from 1 species
GGAAGUGCUGACCCCAUUGGCCGCUGUGUUCCCCGAUGAGGCCGAAUGCUUCUGGGCCUUCUGCAGCGUCAUGGACUGCGUGGGGGACACCUUCGGGCCGACAGCGGAGGGGCUGCGCCGGGGGUUGGGGGCUGUGGGGCAGCUGCUGCACGUCCUGGAAGCGGGCGGUGCCGACCCCCCCGACAGCGCCGCCCAGUGGCUGCAGAUGCGGUUUCUGCCCCACGUGGGAUUGGAGGGUCCAUGAGGCUCUGCGAGGUGCUGUGGGCCGCCCCCCCGGGCCCCCCCUUCCUGCUGCUGCUCAGCUGCGCGGCCGUCACUGCGCCCGGACGGAGAUGGGGGGACGGAGACGGGGGGACCGCGUGUGGGGACCCCCCCCUGGAGGCGGAGGCGCUGCUGAGCCACGCGGAGGGCAUUCUGCUGCAGAUGGAGGGGGCAAAGG